rnacentral:rRNA from 1 species
UCUGGGAAACUGCCUGAUGGAGGGGGAUAACUACUGGAAACGGUAGCUAAUACCGCAUAACGUCGCAAGACCAAAGAGGGGGACCUUCGGGCCUCUUGCCAUCGGAUGUGCCCAGAUGGGAUUAGCUAGUAGGUGGGGUAACGGCUCACCUAGGCGACGAUCCCUAGCUGGUCUGAGAGGAUGACCAGCCACACUGGAACUGAGACACGGUCCAGACUCCUACGGGAGGCAGCAGUGGGGAAUAUUGCACAAUGGGCG